GACGAACGCUGGCGGCGCGCUUAACACAUGCAAGUCGAACGGAAAGGCCUGCUUUCCCUUGUGGAUUGCGGGUACUCGAGUGGCGAACGGGUGAGUAACACGUGAGUGAUCUGCCCCCAACUUGGGUAUAAGCCUGGGAAACUGGGUCUAAUUCCCGAUAGGACUGCAGGGUGGUGCCUGUGGUGGAAAACGAUUUCCUAGUGGUUGGGGAUGAGCUCGCGGCCUAUCAGCUUGUUGGUGGGGUAAUGGCCUACCAAGGCGGCGACGUGUAGCCGGCCUGAGAGGGUGGACGGCCACAUUGGGACUGAGAUACGGCCCAGACUCCUACGGGAGGCAGCAGUGGGGAAUAUUGCACAAUGGGCGGAAGCCUGAUGCAGCGACGCCGCGUGGGGGAUGACGGCCUUCGGGUUGUAAACUCCUUUCGACCGCGAGGAAGCCACCUGGUUGGAAGGGUGGUGACGGUAGUGGUAGAAGAAGCACCGGCUAACUACGUG
rnacentral:rRNA from 1 species